rnacentral:rRNA from 1 species
GUGUCAGCAGCCGCGGUAACACGUAGGAGACGAGCGUUAUCCGGAUUUACUGGGUGUAAAGCGCGUGCAGGCGGUUUGUUAAGUUGGAUGUGAAAGCUCCCGGCUAAACUGGGAGAGGUCGUUCAAAACUGGCAGACUAGAGUGUGGUAGAGGAGAGUGGAAUUCCGAGUGUAGCGGUAAAAUGCAUAGAUAUUCGGAAGAACACCAGUGGCGAAGGCGACUUUCUGGACCACAACUGACGCUCAGACGCGAAAGCCAGGGUAGCAAACGGGAUUAGAUACCCCAGUAGUCC